ACACCGUCGUUUGUAGGCAUUGAAAUUACAGUCACGCAUAGCACAAUAAAUAAGGCAUAUUUUUUCGGCAGUGGCUUGCCUGAACGCGCGGUGAAAGAAGGCGAGAAUGCACAUCCAAAGUGCACACAGGGGCGCAACUUUAGUCACCCAUGAACUGGCGGGUAUUUGACUUCAAGUGACGUCAUUCCGCUGCUCCGCCCCAAACCGCCCCCUGCGCGUACUGGUCGCAGUUUUGAUGGCAGAGUGACUUGACUUGACUUUGGCUCUGCCUUUGGUUGCGCCCACAGAGGCGGGGAUGGCAGCAUAACGUCUCAUCGCGAGUUUUGAUCACAUCUGAGACGCUCUACAUAGAACGCUGUACAUCCUUCUACAUUAAAAGUAAGGCCAUGAUCAAUGUAUAAUGAAUAUUAUACAGAGGAAGUGUGAGGGAUCAAGGCGGGUGUGGAACAUCUUUUCUCAGCUUCUACGGAAUAAAGAUAAGGAAAUGC